GCAUCUACUCUUUCUGCUUCUGAGAAGAGCAUUGUUUUAACCCUUUACAAUGCAGACCUUCCAGCUUGACACUGAGCGCCUCUGCCAGGCAGCUAAGCUGUACCAGCACACCAAGUCUGACUUUGGCCUGAAUGGCAUGAUCCAGCUUUCUGGUUCAUGUAAUAAUAUGUCACUAUCUGUACUGGGAUCGAUUGGAGGCUGUGCUAUUCUGAGAUUGGAAUUGUUGGAGGCUGCCCGGCUCCAUUCAUCUAAAGACAGCUCCAAGUCUGCCAUUUACAGCUUUCGUAACGCAAGCUCCCUUGGAAGAGAAUUUACUCAUGGUGGAGAACUCUUUGGCCCCAAAAUGGAAUCUGCCUCCCUGUCUUUUUAUGGCCAUCAUGGAGUGAAAUAUGUGGAGGCACAAUUUGUGCAUGACAGCAGCAGCAAGACUGUACAUACUGCUGCUAUGCAGCCCAUCACCAUACCACCUUCGUGUGCCUUUGAUGAUCGUGAGGCCAAUGGUAUAGUGACAUUGUCAACAAAAACUGCAGCGGCGCUGGUCAAGUGGUUGAAGCAGCAUACAAAAACCUGCCAGUCACCAGUUAAGGUUUCUAUCAGUGAAAUCUUGGGUGUGAUGGUUCUUUCAGUUGGAGAUGCUAGCAUGACUGUUGAUGUCACUCCGGUGAAUGUUUCAUCUGGCAAGAAGACACGGGGUGGGAAUAAGGCUAGUGACUCUGGGACUAUCUCUGCAGACGCAACGGUGCAUGUUAAUGGACAUUGUUUGAUUAGAUCUUUGAUUGUAUGUAAAGUUCCUGGGUGUACAACUCCAAGAGUCAAGUUUCACGCCUGUGGCAUAUUAGAGGUAGAUGGGGCCCCCGUUAAACAGGGCGAGUUGACACAGGUAAAAUUGUCAGUGGCCCUCCUGAACGUGGACUCUUCAACUGGCAGAGUUUUGAAGGAACCUGUGGUGACUGGAGCAAGUAAAGAUCGAGGGGCUUCAAAGUCAGAAGACGCGGACGGUAGCCCUCCAGUACCAGAUCAUCCCAAAGAAUCCCUCACUAGCGACUCUGAUUCCUCAGUUCCUGGGCCACGAAGUACUGACCUUUCCUCUCUUACCCACACCCCUUCAGAUAGAUUUUCGAGCGACCUUAGAUCAGGGUGUGGGGGGCAACAGUUCCUCAAGAGACCACCCCCUAAGAAAGACAGGGAACCCACCACUAAGCGCCCCAAGCUACAUUUUAACCACUUCCCAUAAAUGAAGAGUCAUUGGUCAGACGUGUUCCUCCCACUCAUUGUGGGAGGAAUGUCUGCUGUUCCCUUUAUCUGGUGUUUAAUUUUUAGAACCCUUUACCUACCAAUAGAAUGUGACUGGAGAUGCUGGAUUUUUGUAUAUGGAUCAAUGAUUUGGCACAUAACCAUGUUUAUGUCACUAUUGUUUAAACAUAAACAUGGGAUGAUUGGCUGGUUUAAGUUGUGUAGUGCAGUUGCCAUAUGUCUGAUUAUAGUUUUGGCUCUUUUAGAACAAUACUGCCCAUAUGAGAUGUACAUUGUUCCUGUUAUAUUCAUAAUAAAUAUAGUUUUGCUUUCCACAUGGGUUCCCAUGGCACUUAUUUCAACAUACAUGUGCAACAGAAUAUAUGCACGCCUCUUGGAACUGGGAUUUUUGGCUGCCAUAAUAGGUUAUUAUGUGAUGUUGCAAAUUGGGGCACAAGAGUCUCCUGCCUUCUGGAUUCCCAUACCAGUGUUGCAUAUUGGGGGAGUGUAUGCUCUUCUCCACUUUAGAACAAGGCCCUGCUUUUUGCACUCUGUUGAAAAAAGACAUAGUAUCUACUACUUUGGAAAUAAUAAGUAUACCGUCUACCCCUGCGAGACCAUUGUGAGGAUGUGCAGCCCUGAAAUUUCCCUGAUGAUUAUUUUGAUUAUGAUGCUGGCCAUUGGCUUCCCCAUCCUGGCAUAUUAUGUGAAAAUUGUUCAAGGUAUGCAAUACUUCUACAUGUUCCUGAUGCUGGGACCAAUGGUAGGGGGCCUAAUUUUUGACAGCAAGAUUGUGGGCACCUUCUUCAUGAUGUUGGCAUUGGUGACUAUGAUUUUUGCUGGAAUUGCACCUGUCUGGUUUCCUCUCAUGGCAGAAAGGACCUUUGUUAUAUCCCUGAUAUUAGCCAACUUUUCUGCUGGCUGCUUUCUGGAAUGUAUGCGUGUCAAGUUAAGGAGAGCCAUAAAUGGUGUCUAUUUUGUUUAUCUAGUAACUGUUUUAUACAAUCUGUUAGUGGCCCUUAUCAUGAUUGCUGUAAGCAUGUAAUUAAUAAAAGACAAAACAGAUAUGC
rnacentral:tmRNA from 1 species